rnacentral:misc_RNA from 1 species
AUGCGAUACGUAAUGUGAAUUGCAGAAUUCAGUGAAUCAUCGAAUCUUUGAACGCAUAUUGCGCUCUUUGGUAUUCCGAAGAGCAUGCUUGUUUGAGUAUCAGUAAACACCUCAAAGCUUUUGAUUUUUUUUAAAAAAAAAAGUUUUGGACUUGAGCAAUCCCAACACCAAUCUUUUUUAGAUCGGCGGCGGGUUGCUUGAAAUGCAGGUGCAGCUGGACAUUCUCCUGAGCUAAAAGCAUAUUUAUUUAGUCCCGUCAAACGGAUUAUUACUUUUGCUGCAGCUAAUAUAAAGGGAGUUUGACCGUAUUGGCUGACUGAUGCAGGAUUUCACAAGGGUCGGCAACGAUUCUUGUAAAACUCGAUCUCAAAUCAAGUAAGACUACCCGCUGAACUUAA